rnacentral:rRNA from 1 species
CGCCCCGCAAGGGGAGUGGCAGACGGGUGAGUAACGCGUGUGGAAUCUACCCUUUUCUACGGAACAACUGAGGGAAACUUCAGCUAAUACCGUAUACGGCCGAGACGGCGAAAGAUUUAUCGGAGAAGGAUGAGCCCGCGUUGGAUUAGCUAGUUGGUGGGGUAAAGGCCUACCAAGGCGACGAUCCAUAGCUGGUCUGAGAGGAUGAUCAGCCACACUGGGACUGAGACACGGCCCAGACUCCUACGGGAGGCAGCAGUGGGGAAUAUUGGACAAUGGGCGCAAGCCUGAUCCAGCCAUGCCGCGUGAGUGAUGAAGGCCCUAGGGUUGUAAAGCUCUUUCACCGGUGAAGAUAAUGACGGUAACCGGAGAAGAAGCCCCGGCUAACUUCGUGCCAGCAGCCGCAGUAAUACGAAGGGGGCUGCGUUGUUCGGAUUUCUGGGCGUAAGCGCACGUGGCGGACUAUUAAGUCAGGGGUGAAUCCCGGGGCUCAACCCCUGAACUGCCUUUGAACUGGUGUCUUGAGUUCGAGAGAGGGAGUGGAUUCCGAGUGUGAGGUGAAAUUCGUAUAUUUCUGAGGAACCCAGUGGCAAGGCCGCUCACUGGCUCGAUACUGACGCUGACGUGCAAAGCGUGGGGAGAAACAGGAUUAGAUCCCUGGUAUCCACGCCGUAACUAUGACAGCUAUCCGUCUGGCAGAUACUGUUCUGUGGCUCAGCUGACGCAUUAAGCUCUCGACCUGUGGAGUACGGUCGCCAGAUUAAAACUCUAAUGACUUGACGGUG